CCCGGUUCUCUCUCUCUCGCAGCUGCUCAGAAACAAAGACCCAACACAUGAAAAAGGCCGAACAAGAACUUAAUGUCUAACAAAUCCUACUCUUGGUUUGUUUUAUGAAUCUUUCAUCUCUUCCUUUUCACUCCCGUUCCUUAAUCACAACCCUCAUCCACUACAGUCGUCAAAAACACCUCCAAGACGGCAAAGCUGCACCAGACCUGUCGGGUUUCGUCCGACCCGACCCGGAUUGUUCUCCGUUUUCCGGCGUCCUCCGGCCAAGGACCCGGCCCCCCCGAGGUCGCCUCACCUACUCCGGCCGCUCCGUGGCGUCAGCCCACGCAGACGCUGCCCCAGGCCAAGAUCGAAGCAACCCAGGCGGGUUUGCUUGCUGUUACUGCUUCAGUUCCACGAUGGUGCUGCCCCUGAGGUCGGCUCACCUCUUCUCUCUCCUCCUCCUGUCACCCACGUUUGGGUGUGGGUCGAGCUGGCACAAGCCUUGGCUGGGCAAGGAAAAUGUCAUGGGUAUGACUAUUUUCUUGGCUGUAGUCAAGAGGGGGUGGGUUUUGCCCGGUCAAAAAACCAACGGUGCAAGUAGGGAAAUUGAGAGCAAGGUCACCACAUCAGAUUUUUCUUGACUAUGACUAUGACUAUGACCUCCGGUGGACUUGCUCUAAGGUUCAAGGGACUGUACUGGCAGACCUCUGUGAUGGCAGCCAACAAUUGUUUUAUCCAUUGUAGACAGUUGAUCGAGGACCAAAAAUCAGUUUAAUAAAAACAUCUGUGCACUUGUUGUUUCAAACGGAAAAGACACAAAAAGGCAAAAUGGGCAAAAACAAAUAUGCACAUGAUGUGAGAGGUACUUGCUGGCUGCUUUAGUUCUUAACUGAUAAAACUAUGCCACGGGGGUGAGUGUGGCUAUUACACAUGCACCUGCGGUUGUACAUAGCAUUGCCUUUAUAUUUAUGAUUUGCAUGCCUGUGGGGCUGUGGGCAACUGGGCAUGGGAGUAGAUCACAGACCAUGUCCCACGAAUUACAAUUUGACAACUAUUAAACUAACCUAACACUCCUUAACUCUCAUUAAAAAAUAAUAAUAAUAAUAACAAAAAUAAACCCAGAUUGCUUCAAACCAGCCUUUUCUUCCGCUAGCUGUUAUAAUCAUCUGAUCGAUCAAAAUCGUCUUCUAUUCUUUUGUAAAACUAGGCUUACCAUUUCUUCCUACCCAGCGGAUUGAAUAGUGAAUAUUAUGAAUUUAAAUGCUUCAAGACUAUCCAAAAGGUGGGCAAAGUGUGAAACUUCAAUCCCGGCCAGGUUACAAUGAAAGAUUGGAGAGUUUUUAUUUUGAUUUUUGGUGAUAGUGUCUGGGGUUAUGCAGAAUACUGAGAUUGCUGUUGAUGCCCUUUCCAUCUGGUAUUGAAUAUAAUGACAGAUCACCGGAAACCCAAGAGGUACAAAAAUCUUUUGUCAUGGUUUACAAGUGGUGCUCCAUCAAGUGAUAGUGUCGG